UACGGGGGGGGCAAGCGUUGUUCGGAAUUACUGGGCGUAAAGAGCGCGCAGGCGGUCGUAUAAGUCGAAUGUGAAAGCCCCCGGCUCAACUGGGGAGGGUCAUUCGAUACUGUUCGACUCGAAGGCAGGAGAGGGAAGUGGAAUUCCGGGUGUAGUGGUGAAAUGCGUAGAUAUCCGGAGGAACACCAGUGGCGAAGGCGACUUUCUGGCCUGUUCUUGACUGCUG
rnacentral:rRNA from 1 species